GCAAACUUGGUCAUUUAGAGGAAGUAAAAGUCGUAACAAGGUUUCCGUAGGUGAACCUGCGGAAGGAUCAUUACCGAGUAUCGGGUGCCCUCGCGCCCUACUCCCACCCUAUGCUUAUCUAUAACCGUUGCUUUGGCGGGCCGGUGGGUUACCCACCGCCGGGCGGCGCCUGGAGAGCGCCCGCCAGAGGACCAAGUAAAACUCUUGUCAACAUGUCGCAUCUGAGCACGCGAGAAUGAACAAAACUUUCAACAACGGAUCUCUUGGUUCUGGCAUCGAUGAAGAACGCAGC
rnacentral:misc_RNA from 1 species